rnacentral:rRNA from 1 species
UAAGGGGCACCACAAGAACGCGUGGAGCAUGUGGCUUAAUUUGACUCAACGCGGGAAAACUUACCGGGUCCGGACACACUGAGGAUUGACAGGCGAAGUAAAUACGCUAGUCCUUUCAUGAUUGUGUGAUAGGUGGUGCAUGGCCGUUCUUAGUUCGUGGAGUGAUCUGUCUGCUUAAUUGCGUUUCAGAUAUAAUUGGGUACAUGUAGUGACAAUAUGUCUGUGCAGCUACACUUAUAGUGUGGCUGUCAGCAUGUUUAACUCUAUACCCAUUGAAAGCAACGAACGUGACCGCAACCCUUUGUUGUGAUUCAAUCUUUGAUUAUCACAAACUAAGGGGACCGCCAGGGUUGUCAAACCGGAGGAAGGUUGCGGCAAUAACAGGUCUGUGAUGCCCUUAGAUGUUCCGGGCUGCACACGUGCUACAAUGAUUGUUCCAGUAAGUAUCUAUUGGUAUUGAUUGUUGUGCAGACUCUCAAAGGUCUGUGCAAUGAUCCACACUGUUGUGAUAUCUAUGUAUAUUGUAAAAUAUGCAUUGUGUCAUAGCUGCUGUGAAACCUACCUCGAAAGUGCGGUAGGCAAUCAAUUCCAAGUGACAAUCUCCCGCGCACACAUCUUAACUGAUUGCGCGCGCACACACUUUUAGUGUGUGUGUGUUCAAUCACGUGCUCUAUUCAAUUCGUGGUCGGGACAGACCAUUGCUAAUUGUUGGUCUCGGUCUCAACUAGGAAUGCCUUGUACGGGUCUUUGGUUCAACAGACCACCCGGAAUACGUCCCUGCCCUUUGUACACACCGCCCGUCA